UACGUAGGGUGCGAGCGUUAAUCGGAAUUACUGGGCGUAAAGCGUGCGCAGGCGGUUAUGUAAGGCAGUUGUGAAAUCCCCGGGCUCAAACUGGGAAUUGCAUCUGUGACUGUAUAGCUAGAGUACGGUAGAGGGGGAUGGAAUUCCGCGUGUAGCAGUGAAAUGCGUAGAUAUGCGGAGGAACACCGAUGGCGAAGGCAAUCCCCUGGACCUGUACUGACGCUCAUGCACGAAAGCGUGGGGAGCAAACAGG
rnacentral:rRNA from 1 species